rnacentral:misc_RNA from 1 species
AGACAAAUUCAAAAAGCCUUGCCCAUGAACUCCCAAAUUUGCAUUAGAAUGUAUCACAGAGGAUUCCUUGAGAACAACUAAAUUGCUAGCCUCAAGCAAAGAUGUUGCUACAAUUGCAUCACCACCUCCAUCUAUAAGCAUUUUGGAAUUCCACAUCAAAUGUAUUUUGACAGACAUUCGAAGAGCUCCAUAUAUCUUAACAACAGAGUCGCUC